UGGGGAAUAUUGCACAAUGGGCGCAAGCCUGAUGCAGCCAUGCCGCGUGUGUGAAGAAGGCCUUCGGGUUGUAAAGCACUUUCAGCGAGGAGGAAGGUGGUGAACUUAAUACGUUCAUCAAUUGACGUUACUCGCAGAAGAAGCACCGGCUAACUCCGUGCCAGCAGCCGCGGUAAUACGGAGGGUGCAAGCGUUAAUCGGAAUUACUGGGCGUAAAGCGCACGCAGGCGGUUUGUUAAGUCAGAUGUGAAAUCCCCGGGCUCAACCUGGGAACUGCAUUUGAAACUGGCAAGCUAGAGUCUCGUAGAGGGGGGUAGAAUUCCAGGUGUAGCGGUGAAAUGCGUAGAGAUCUGGAGGAAUACCGGUGGCGAAGGCAGCCCCCUGGACGAAGACUGACGCUCAGGUGCGAAAGCGUGGGGAGCAAACAGGAUUAGAUACCCCGGUAGUCCACGCUGUAAACGAUGUCGAUUUUGGAGGUUGUGCCCUUGAGGCGUGGCUUCCGGAGCUAACGCGUUAAAUCGACCGCCUGGGGAGUACGGCCGCAAGGUUAAAACUCAAAUGAAUUGACGGGGUCAUAGCUGUUUCCU
rnacentral:rRNA from 1 species